rnacentral:pre_miRNA from 1 species
UAGAUACUCCCUCCGUUCCGAAUUACUUGUCUUGGAUUUGUCUAGAUACAGAUGUAUCUAGACUCAUUUUAGUGCUAGAUAUCUCCGUAUCUAGACAAAUCUAAGACAAGUAAUUCAGAACGGAGGGAGUAGAUG